rnacentral:rRNA from 1 species
UACGUAGGGUGCGAGCGUUAAUCGGAAUUACUGGGCGUAAAGCGUGCGCAGGCGGUUCGUUGUGUCGGUGGUGAAAUCCCCGGGCUUAACCUGGGAAUGGCCAUGGAAACUGGCGAACUGGAGUGCGGCAGAGGGGGGGUGGAAUUCCGCGUGUAGCAGUGAAAUGCGUAGAGAUGCGGAGGAACACCGAUGGCGAAGGCAGCCCCCCUGGGGCUAGCACUGACGCUCAGGCACGAAAAGCGUGGGGGAGCAAAACAGG